GAUAAGUCCAGACAGCUGAGUUUGACAUGGCCUCCCUCUCUCUCUGCUGUUAUGCCUGGGACAUUACCAUUCAGAAGGGACGUCCGUAUAUGGCCGGGAUUGGAAACACUAAAAAUAGUCCCUGGGAGACACAAAUCCAGUCAAGGUUUACCUCUGAAAAACCAAAGGACUUACCAUUGUGAAAACAUCUGCAACGGGCAGUUGAACUGAUUCCAGAGGCUGAUCCGAAACACCGCCGGCGGAGAAGAGGUAUUCGGAGUGGUCUCCUAGUCCGACUCAUGUUGAAUGAUUAACUACUUAUGGUGUGAUUGUGAUAACAUACAGAAACUCAAGUCCUUUUUUUCACCCGACCUAGAAUAACUCACAAUCAAAUGCCAUCCAUAUUACCUCCCAAGAGAAUUCUCUUCGGUAACAGUCACAUCCUUGUAUAUUUCCCCUCAAGCCAAUACCACGACAGCCUUCAAAGAACUACAUUGGACUCUAUGCAAACAGGAAUCCUCAUAUCCUGAGGCUGCAGUUAUUGUAUCCGGGGAUUUUAACAAAGAUAAUCUGAGGAAAACGCUACCAAAGUUCUACCAACACAUUGACUGUAGCACUCGCUCUGAGAAAAUAUUGGACCACUGGUACUCAGCUUUUUGAGUUCCCUCGCCCUCCCUUCGGCAAAUCUGAUCACGAUUCCAUUUUGCUCCUCCCUUCCUAUAGGUAGAAACUCAAACAGGAAGUACACGUGC
ensembl:lncRNA